ensembl:lncRNA
AUAUAUAUAUAUAUAUAUAUAUAUAUAUAUAUAUAUUUCCUAAUGAGAGAAGUGUCGUCGGAGAGGUCAUGCAAACCUUUAUAAAACUUUUGAGAGUUUCAGCAGCUGUUGAGAGAAAAGGAAGUCUCUGCCAAGGAGGCAGAAAAAUGUGUGAAUAAUCUAAUCCAACCCCAAACUCCACGGCUGCCUCUUUUAAAUGGGGAAAUGUUUCUGGACGUGAACCCGGACGCGCUGGUUCUCCCGCAACAAUCGCCUCUCUUCAGGUGGGAAAGGGAAGGAUUAAACAGGAUAAGUGAGAAGCGCGUUUUGCAAUCCAAAGCUCUGAUUGUGGAGCCGUGAAACUACUACAUGGUUUUGAUUUAGAGAUCAAGAUUUCUCCUUUUCAUGGGAAAUAACGCAACGUGUUUUUUCUUUUCUUUUCUUUAUAAAUUGGGCAUAACCCGCUUUGCUUCCAGACUAAACCCCACUGGCUCCCCAACCAAUGACACAGCAAAUUGUAUUCAUUGCAUUGCACAAGCAACCCCUAAAUUCAGGAGCUCAAGUCUGCUCCUCCAACCGCCUGAAGCCAACGAUCAUCCGUUUGCCCUCGUAGUUGUCCGAAGCUUUAAGGCAUUGCUUCACCCGUUCUCCUAGUCGCUCUCUUUCCUUCUGCGAGGUUUCAUCCACCUCCUCCUUUUCGGAUGGGCAACCUUCUUAACCGAGGGAACUAAAGCCCCGUUUGGGAGGCAGCUCAGCUCGCAGCCACGUUUGUACGUAGCGGCAGAGGCGGAGAGAGCGCAGCGAUGCGGCUUCUCGAAAGGCGUGAAAGAAAAACGGAGAGCAGAUGUCUUCCAGGCAGCGGGGGGUCCGUCUCAUCCCUCCCCAUCCAGAUGACUUACUACCCCCUCACCGGGUCUGUGUCCGCUACAAAGAAAGACAAGGACAGAAGAGCUGUUUGGAGGUCAGACGGGCCUAUAUAUUUGAAUUUGGUUGUUUUUAGUUUCCCUUUACAUCCAUCUAAGGAAACUUAAGGAGACUUACCUCUGUUCCUUUGUCAUCGCCUACGUCCUAUCUUCCGUCACCUUUGUCCCUGUACCGCCAUUACCUGCGUCCCGUCUUUGUUCGUUGUUUCUUCGUUAUCGGCCAGUCGUUGCCGAGGUCCGUCGAAACGUUCUGUCAUCAUCACCUCGGUCCCGUCAUCAGAUGAAGGUUCCGUCGUUGCCUUCUACGUCCUGGCCGUUGCCGCCGACGUCCUCAUCGCAGGGGAAAUACGAGGCUUACGAAUUUUACAAAACAUGACAUGUACCAUCAUGCUGCUGGUGAAUGAACAACGUUUGAAGCCCUUUUAAGCAAUAAGUCGUGCAGUAGAUGUCUGCAUGUUGGCGCGUGACAGGAGAAUCAAAAGCACAUUGGUUGCGUUACCAUUUUACCUGAUAGCAUUUGAUGCUAAGCUCCAAUGUGUGGUUCCUUCCAUUGCGACAGAACCGUUCUGGCCCUUCCAGCCGCCGGUCGGGCCGAGCCGUUGGGAGUAAAGACGGCCGGCGGGUAAUAAAUCGCCCGCUUCACACGCGUCUGUCGGCUCUGCCGAACCAUCGCGACGCCCUCGCUGCGUGCCGACCACAUUACAGGCCCAUCCACACAUGGCGGAGGGGUUUCAGAGCCGCGGUAACCGGCGGUGGGUGGUAAUUGGUCUGGCGUCACCAAGCGGGCGCGUUUGUAUGCGUGUAGGAUUUGUGUGUGUGUGUGUGUGUGUGUAGUGCGUCUCCACAGAGUCUCGUGCUCUCUGGUCUGUCUAAGCUGCUGACAGUUCACCAUUAGACACGUCAUUACCGUCAAGCAGAAGCAAAACCUUCCAGCACCCGCCUCCUACCCCCCCCUCUCUCCCUCUCUCUCUCUCUCCUUCUCCCUCCCUCACGAGUAGACAUCUUUAUUGGGAUUGUAAUCCGACAAUCAUGUUCUCGGGAUCUCCGUCAACAUGCACAUAUCUUCCAUCCCAGCUGCUGUGUACGCGUUGAAAUAAGGAUCAUGUUGAAUUAACUAGCUGUAUAUUUUGUGAGCAGAAUCUUAUUUUGUAGAGUAAAUAAAGCUGUUUUGUGCACAACAGAACAUACGAUGUCGACCUAACUACAGUAUUUGAGUACAUGUACUUAGCAAUAUAAAGCAAUAUAACGUUGAAAUCAAGUGCAGGAAUACUUUCAUUAGCUUCUUUCUACCACAAAGAACAACGCUCUUAGAGCGUUGAGGUUUAUAACCUUUGCCUAAUUUAAUCACACAAGCUUUUAAUGUGUUUAAGAUAUUUUUGCCAUUUUGUCGAUUUUAUUUAUUCUGUCUUGCUACAACAGCAAUAAACAACUUGUUUUCUUUGUGAGGUUUUACUGACAAUAAUUUCUGUGUGCCGUUAUUGAACUACUGUAACUAUUUUUAAACUACCCCAUUACAUGUAGGUUCAUAUACUUUCGUAGUAUAGCGUUUACUCACAUGUCGUUUUCCUGAAUGGUAUACUAUAUAUAGUAUAUAAAGUCACUAAAAUGAGUCAUUCCUCGUAAUGAGUACUUUCACUUGGGUGUGGUAAACAUCCUGUAUUUUGAUAUUUCUGUGAGUCGAGACGAGGACACACACAUUAGCUUAGCACAAGAUUAGCUAGCUAGAUUGUUUUCACAGUACAUUUAAAAUGUUAUUAUAAGACAAAAGUCCCCAUGGCACAGACAUGUAAUUCCCUCAGAGGGGCCAGACACACACUUUAGUGGGUUCAGCCCCUUUUCAUAGUUAUUUUGUGUGUCUUUGUGACUUUUAUGUGGUUAUUUUUUGCAUGUUUCCCCCCUUGUGGUCGUUUUGCGACUCUUUGUAGUCGUCCCGCUGCGCUCCCACUUUCUAAAUUGGGUCGCUAAAAUUGAAAAGUGUUUACCAGUGCAACUUUUUUUACUUUUCACAGUCUCCUCGCUGGCUUGCAGGUGAACUGAGUGCGACUGUUAUCGGGAUAAUUAUCAGAUGUGCUCUUCCUCUCCGCCUCACUUCUCCUCCUGCAGGAAAACAGGAAGGCAGGAUUAGAGCGACGCGCUGCGCUGAGAUCCGGAGAGGCCCGGUGAGUCCCAGGAUGGAAUGCGCACACACACACACACACACACGCGCGCGCACUCACACGCACUCACACACACUCACAUACACCAAUACACAUACUCUGAAUAGCUCGCACACAUUCCCACUAAAUCUAUUAGGUGAUCAUGAGCAAACAACUAGCACAAACAGCUCGGGGGAAACUUGGACCUGGAAUUGAGGAUCUAAUAAAAAAAUCACGGGGCGAGGAGGACGAGGAGAGAGCCAAGAAACAAUGAGGGGCCUCAGACUGCAGCCACAGCAACGUUUACGACUCUCGUUAUGACGAAGAGGUGCUCAUUAUGGCCUUUUAUGGUCUCCUGGGACUCACAUUUUAGUGGAAAUGCGAGUAUGCAAAACAAAGAGAUAAAAACCAACACAUGUGUAUGUAUAUAUAUAUAUAAAUAUGGAUAUAUAUGGAUAUAGAUAUGUAUACCUAUAUGUAUAUACAUGUAUCUCUAUAUUUAAAAAUAUAUAUAUAUAUAUAUUAUGAAAUGAUGGCUGCAGUUGGCUGAGAAAACCUGCAAAAGUUAUCUUGAACAGAUAUCUGUGACCUUGAGAAGCAGUAAUUGAGCGGAAAGGGGAUGUAAAACAUCCGCUGGUGGGGUUUACUAUGACUGUGCACACACACACACACACACACACACACACACACACACACACACACACACACACACACACAGCAGCAGUAGCAGCAGUGUCGGUCCCAGGCUGGCCUCCCUCUGGCAUUAUCUCAUAGCCUGAGCACUCCCGCUACCUCUGAGGCCGGCCAGCUCCGCACACAGAAGCAUUACGUGCAUCUGCCUCGCAUUAAUCGGCAAAUUAUGGAAAAACUGCGCGUCAAAUGACAUUGCUGAGGGUGGUGGGACCAACUCACAAUGGACACUAAUGCAACCACACACAAUAAAGGCUCCAGCGUACCUUCUUCUUCAAUGCAGAGAGAGCCCUGUUUGUUAUAUUUUAUUCUUUUUAAUCUUUUUAUAGCAUGUUUUCAUAUUUAUAUUUCUUGUUAUUUCUCUGCGGUCAGACAGUCGAGCAUAAUAUCUUAAGUUUGCUAAUUUCUGUACUCAUAUUUAUCCUACACAUUCGAUAGAUAAGCAGCCCGUAAAUAGGUCAGAAGGGCCCCACUUUAGUCUGCCACCUACUAUGCUGGGGGCCCCCUCCGCGACGCUUGUUGCCCAUUGUUACCAUUCAAAGCUACAACCAGCACCAACCACGAGGCAAAUAAUACAUUCACAUGACCUCAUACCAGUGCAGGUGGUUUCUGUGUCCCUUCUCUUUAGCUACUGCAGAGCGAAGCUUUAGAUUAAUGAACGCUGACGAUGACGGAUUGGUUCAUUUCUGCACGACGAACCGAGCCACAGAAACCCGAACGGAUCCGACCCAACCAGAGCCAAUCGCUGGCGGAGUCGUCUUUCUUUAUGGAUAGGAAAAACGAAAAAAAGUCAGGCAGCAUGUGAGAAUUGUUUUUUUUUUUUUUUAAGAGACUCGUGCUUCCCGACCUGAUCAACUUCGUGCAACAUUUACACGAAUGUGUCUUUAUUUGGCCCGUUAGCAGGACUCAUAUCAGCUUUGCAGAAACCAGCUGCCGGAACAAACAACCAGCGUCACCGACUGGCCGCUGAAUGUUCCCCGUGGUCAGACGCCUCCCCCCCCCCUUCCUUCCUUCCUCGGAUAGUUGCGGAAUAAAUCACCUUCCUUCAUUCAUUGUGUUUCUUCAGCACGUGGGCUUUUCGCAGUGAAUCACCCUCUGACUCCUGUUUGGCUUUGGAACUGUCAUUUUGUUGUUAAAUGCUCCAGAUCUCACAGACGGACCCGAAUGUGCUGCCGAAUCACUGCUUUUCAGAUUUGGUAGAUGGCUAAAGAGCGAACGAGCUAACGUUGGGCAUUAAUAAACCAAGCGGUAUCAUUUUAGAACUUUUAACCACCUUUUUAAAUGUAAGGGAUUUGAAAUUAGCGAGUGGGGUACUGACUGACAUGUUGUUUGCUGUAGAACAAUCUGUCAAGCACCCACCUUAUUUCGGGCAUCUAGCAAGUAUCGACUUUGAGACGAGGGAACCGGAAGUUCAAAAAUGCAGACUUUUCUUCCCUCAUUCAAGGACCAACGUUUCUAUUGUACUGCCAUCCACAGGCUACGUGUACAUUAGUGUUAGGAGACCACACACAUUGUAUGUGAUUGGAUCUUGUAUUGCGGCGGGAGGACCGAUAUCUAACAAUACGUUAGUACAAAACGUAAUGUUCUUCCUGAUGUCAGUCAGCUGUUCUUCCGGCCUGCAGGCCGACAGAACUGCUCCCGCCUGAACGAGACCAACCGGGCUUGGGGGCCUCGGCCUCGACCUCCGCAAACUCAUUUGCUCGCCAGCCACACGGCGAUCCUCGGCCGUUUCCUGCCGAACCAUGAAGGCCAUUUAAUUUGCCUCAUGGAGGCCAAACGUGGAAUGUGUGCAAUGUGGGAGUUUGUGUGUGUAUUUCAUGGCACCCCCAGACGCACAAUGUACCCGAGCAGCAGUAAUAACAGACAGCGAGGCGGACGGACGGACGUGGAGACACGCGGCGGGAGAGCAGCCGCGCCGACAUUCAGUCCCACUUUUCUUGAUGCUGUUUUGCUGGCGGGGAAAUCCCUAAUUAGUAAAGUUGUUUAAAGGAGUCGUUCAAGCAAGAGCGAUGUUAUGUCAUUAUACUCCCUACGGUCCCAGAAAGACCUUUAAAAGAGAGCAGAGGACCCGUAACACAAAGUACGAGUACAUAUACAAGUUAAACUACAUAUACAAGUAUAUGCAUGCAAGUACAAGUCCGCCCGUCAACAUCUUGCGUGGCUGCAGAUGACGAACCUUUUGUUGCCUUGUGAGACUUCUUGUUUCGUCCACUUUCCUUCACAGAAAUAUAAACAAAUACAGUGUUGUCACAAAUAUCUGUUACCAUAAGUUAACUGUUAAUAAUCCUUGAAUAAAGAAAAAAUUAAAUUAAAAUCGUUUAAAACGGUUUUCUUUGGUUGGACUGGUCUGGACCACCCACAUUUUGUGCAAGAAGUGGUUUUAAAUCGCCAGUUAUCACAAAAAUGUAACUUUCACACACACGCACGCACACAGACACACACACACACACACACCAUCUUUCACCGGGUGGUGCAAGCGGAUUCCCACACGGACACAGCCCCCUUUCAGCCACGCAGAAGGAAUCUGUCGGGAGCGUGAAAGCGGCGGUGUGAGGUUUAACGUCGGAAGAAGAAGAUUACUCAGGGGGAAAGAAUUACACGAGGGCUCGCACAGUGUGCGUCAGGUGUGUGUGUGUGUGUGUGUGUGUGUGUGUGUGUGUGUGUGUGUGUGUGUGUGUGUGUGUGUGUGUGUGUGUGCGCGUGUGUGUGUGUAUUUGUGCACUUUCACAUGGGGUUGUAACCCGACCGCCCGGCCACCUGCAGCAGACGGCUGAGAAACCCCAAAGAAAGGUUGCACACGCACUUUCUCUCUAUGCGUGUGUGUGUGUGUGUGUGUGUGUGUGUGUGUGUGUGUGUGCGCGUUACUGAUGUUUCUACCAGAGACAUGGACAGAAUGUACAGCGGUUGGACAAAAUAAUGUAAACACCUCAUGGGAAAAGACUGCACUUCAGAUGCAUUCACUGAAGUACAAAAGUCAGUUAUGAGCUGCUCUUUGCUUUUUUCCCCCAAUAAUAACUAUUUUAUCAGAUACAAAUAACAGCAAAUGUAAAAUUUACAUUUGAAACAGUUUGUGCGCCAAAAGCAGAAGAACGAGAUGAUUUAUCUUCCAUUCGAUGCUGACAUUUUGCUUUAUGACUGGAAUAGACUGUGGGACUUUAAUCCUUUCCCCUCUGCAGUUUACUCAGCGGUUUGAUUGAACAACUCUUUCAGAUGACAUUCUGAAAUAACCUUCUUAAAACUAAACCAACCUUCUGUUUUGAAGAGGAGGUUUGUGCACUUGACCCUGAAACAGGAAGUCGUCAUAGCUCUAAACAUGUUUACAUUCAUUCAGUUACUUCAGUAAAACUAUGUGUGAAUAAUCAGGAAAAUGUUAAUUUUGAACAAUGUUAUUUUCAUUGAUUAUUAUUGGCUCAAUUCAUUCUUUUGUGCACAAAACAUUUGAAAUAAUCCCAGUUUCUAAAGGCCCAAAAGGACAGAUGAUUUAUUUUUACCGGCCGACUGUCUACGAUCAGAAGAACGAGUGAAAAGUUAUUUUGCCUUUUCUUUUUGGUGGGACGGAGUUUACGACUUUUUGGAAUGCGGUGGACAUUCCUCACAUUCCUGUCACGUAACAAAUAAAUAGAGCAAAAUAUUUGAAGAAUCCCCAAAGCUCAUUUCAGCUCAGCGCAUGACUGCAGUGACCUCGUUAUUAUUUAAAUCUUUCUCACAAAUAACACUUUGGCCACUCAGCGAUCCCAAGCGAUUUAAAAAAAAUGCUCCUAGAAAUGAACACACACACACACACACACACACACACACACACACACACACACACACACACACACACACACUCCCCGUCGUCAGGGGUUGCAUGUUGCUGUUUCCCACCUGGCCUCCUGUCGGUAACAGAGUGGCUUGCUGACUGACGGGCCGACGGGAAAUGAGCCUGGUGCAUGCUGGGGGAUGAGCCGAUGACAGCUUGAGUCAUGGCGGUUGUCAGGGCCCAACGCCGUCAGCGCAACGAGUUGGUUAGCUGAGGAAACG